UACGUAGAGUGCAAGCGUUAAUCGGAAUUACUGGGCGUAAAGCGUGCGUAGACGGUGAUGUAAGUCGGGUGUGAAAGCCCCGGGCUCAACCUGGGAAUUGCACUCGAGACUGCAUCGCUAGGGUGCGGAAGAGGGAAGCGGAAUUUCCGGUGUAGCGGUGAAAUGCGUAGAUAUCGGAAGGAACACCAGUGGCGAAAGCGGCUUCCUGGUCCAGCACCGACGUUCAGGCACGAAAGCGUGGGGAGCAAACAGG
rnacentral:misc_RNA from 1 species